AACCGUAUUAUGAUAAGCGAUAUCCAAUCCUUACGAGUUGCUAAACAUAUAUUUGUUAUCGCAACACUCUCGUUGAGUUCAAAUUAAAAAAUAUCUGAAACGUUGAUCUAGUCUUUUACAAAUACCAGUAUGACGACGUAAAAUGUAAGCCAUGUUCCGCCUUCACACUCUAACAUCUGACAGAUCCCCCCAAAAGAAAAAUAAACCCGACCAAACACCAACACUGACAAAUGCGCUUUUAAUUUUGUGUCUAUACGUUUUCACAUUAUAAAAAUACUACAAGAAUUGAAGCCGUGUCAUUGCUGACCUGGCACUUUCCAAAUAAUACAUUUAAAAUGGAGAUACGGUCUGUCAUCAAGUAACUGUGAAUACACGUUAAAAAAAUCAAAACGUCAUUGUCCUGCCUUAGAGGUCGGAAUCAGUUUCAGGAUAAGAACUUUGAAUAUUUCGAUUUUCUUAUCCCAGGCAUAUAUUACCACAGACGUAUUUGGCACACCUUUUU
rnacentral:lncRNA from 1 species